CAGAGUUAUACAAACUCCUCAACCCUUGUGAACAUACUGAAAAGUUGCUUCGGCGGGAAGACGGCCCUAACAAGGGAGCGACCCGCCAGAGGAAUCCCUAACUCCUGUUUUUAUAUGUCUCUCUGAGUAAAGCUAUAAAUAAGUUA
rnacentral:misc_RNA from 1 species